AGAGGUUCGAUUCUGGCUCAGAACGAACGCUGGCGGCAGGCUUAACACAUGCAAGUUGAACGGGAUUUGUUUGUAGCUUGCUAUAAGCAAUGAGAGUAGCGCACUGGUGAGUAACACGUGGGAACAUACCUUUUGGUGGGGGACAACAGUUGGAAACGACUGCUAAUACCGCAUAAGCCCUAAGGGGGAAAGAUUUAUUGCCGAAAGAUUGGCCCGCGGAAGAUUAGGUAGUUGGUGGGGUAAAGGCCUACCAAGCCAACGAUCUAUAGCUGGUCUGAGAGGACGAACAGCCACAUUGGAACUGAGACACGGUCCAGACUCCUACGGGAGGCAGCAGUGAGGAAUAUUGGGCAAUGGAGGAAACUCUUCGACCCAGCCAUGCCGCGUGAGUGAAGAAGGUUUUCGAAUUGUAAAGCUCUUUCGGGUGUGACGAUGAUGACGGUAGCACCUAAAGAAGCCCCGGCAAACUUCGUGCCAGCCGCCGC
rnacentral:rRNA from 1 species